rnacentral:rRNA from 1 species
AUUGAACGCUGGCGGCAGGCCUAACACAUGCAAGUCGAACGGAGUGGCGGCCGGGUGAGUAACGCGUAGGAAACUGCCUCAUAGCGGGGGAGAACUAUGUGAAACGAGAGCUAAUACCGCAUACUGUGCGAAGGACCUGCGUUGUAUUAGAUAGUUGGUGGGGUAAAGGCGCACCAAGGCGACGAUACAUAGCCGACCUGAGAGGGUGGUCGGCAACAAUGGGCCUGAGACACGGCCCAGACCCCUACGGGAGGCAGCAGUAGGGAAUCUUGGGCAAUGGACGGAAGUCUGACCGAGCAACGCCGCGUGAGUGAAGAAGGUUUUCGGAUCGUAAAGCUCUGUUGGUAGAGAAGCGGUAACUAACCAGAAAGGGACGGCUAACUACGUGCCAGCAGCCGCGGUAAUAC